rnacentral:rRNA from 1 species
ACUCCUACGGGAGGCAGCAGUGGGGAAUAUUGGACAAUGGGGAACCCGUAGCAUCCAGCCAUGCCGCGUGUGUGAAGAAGGCCUUCGGGUUGUAAAGCACUUUCAGUGGGGAGGAAAGGUUGAUGGUUAAUACCUAUCAGUUGUGACGUUACCCACAGAAGAAGCACCGGCUAACUCCGUGCCAGCAGCCGCGGUAAUACGGAGGGUGCAAGCGUUAAUCGGAAUUACUGGGCGUAAAGCGUGCGCAGGCGGUCUGUUAAGCGAGAUGUGAAAGCCCGGGCUCAACCUGGGAACUGCAUUUCGAACUGGCAGACUAGAGUCUUGUAGAGGGGGUAGGAAUUCCAUGU